CGAACGCUGGCGGCGUGCUUAACACAUGCAAGUCGAACGGAAAGGCCCUGCUUGCAGGGUGCUCGAGUGGCGAACGGGUGAGUAACACGUGGGUGAUCUGCCCCUUACUUUGGGAUAAGCCUGGGAAACUGGGUCUAAUACUGGAUAGGACCAUGCUGUAGGUGGUGUGGUGGAAAGAUUAGUUUCGGUAAGGGAUGAGCUCGCGGCCUAUCAGCUUGUUGGUGGUGUAAUGGCCUACCAAGGCGUCGACGGGUAGCCGGCCUGAGAGGGUGGACGGCCACAUUGGGACUGAGAUACGGCCCAGACUCCUACGGGAGGCAGCAGUGGGGAAUAUUGCACAAUGGGCGCAAGCCUGAUGCAGCGACGCCGCGUGGGGGAUGACGGCCUUCGGGUUGUAAACUCCUUUCAGCCAUGACGAAGCCCUUGUGGUGACGGUAGUGGUAGAAGAAGCACCGGCUAACUACGUG
rnacentral:rRNA from 1 species